rnacentral:rRNA from 1 species
AACGUAGGAGCCUAGCGUUAUCCGCAUUCACUGGGCGUAAAGCGUGUGCAGGCGGUUCGGUAAGUUGGAUGUGAAAUCUCCUGGCUCAACUGGGAGAGGACGUUCAAGACUGUCGGACUAGAGGACGGUAGAGGAAGGUAGAAUUCCCGGUGUAGUGGUGAAAUGCGUAGAUAUCGGGAGGAAUACCAGUGGCGAAGGCGGCCUUCUGGGCCGUUCCUGACGCCCAGACGCGAAAGCUAGGGGAGCAAACGGG